GACGAACGCUGGCGGCGUGCUUAACACAUGCAAGUCGAACGGAAAGGCCCUGCUUUUGUGGGGUGCUCGAGUGGCGAACGGGUGAGUAACACGUGAGUAACCUGCCCUUGACUUUGGGAUAACUUCAGGAAACUGGGGCUAAUACCGGAUAGGAGCUCCUGCUGCAUGGUGGGGGUUGGAAAGUUUCGGCGGUUGGGGAUGGACUCGCGGCUUAUCAGCUUGUUGGUGGGGUAGUGGCUUACCAAGGCUUUGACGGGUAGCCGGCCUGAGAGGGUGACCGGACACAUUGGGACUGAGAUACGGCCCAGCCUCCUACGGGAGGCAGCAGUGGGGAAUAUUGCACAAUGGGCGGAAGCCUGAUGCAGCAAAGCAGCGUGCGGGAUGACGGCAAUCGGGUUGUAAACCGAUUUCCCCUGAGACGAGGCGUGAGUGACGGUAAUGGGUGAAGAAGCACCGGCUAACUACGUG
rnacentral:rRNA from 1 species